UUUGGAUCCGACUGRGUGGCGAACUGGUGAGUAACACGUGGGUAACCUGSCCAGAAGAAGGGGAUAACACCUGGAAACAGAUGCUAAUACCGUAUAACAACMAGAACCACAUGGUUYUUGKUUGAAAGCUGGCCUUUGUGCUAGUGCUUCUGGAUGGACCCGCGGCGUAUUAGCUAGUUGGUGAGAUAAUAGCUCACCAAGGSAAUGAUACGUAGCAGACCUGAGAGGGUAAUCUGCCACAAUGGGACUGARACACGGCCCAUACUCCUACGGGAGGCAGCAGUAGGGAAUCYUCCACAAUGGACGAAAGUCUGAUGGAGCAACGCCGCGUGAGUGAAGAAGGGUUUCGGCUCSUAAAACUCUGUUGUUAGAGAAGAACARCCGUGAGARCAACUGCUCACGGUAUGACGGUAUCUAACCAGAAAGUCACGGCUAACUACGUGCCAGCAGCCGCGGUAAUACGUAGGUGGCAAACGUUGUCCGGAUUUAUUGGGCGUAAAGGGAGCGCAGGCGGUUUAUUAAGUCUGAUG
rnacentral:rRNA from 1 species